UACGGGGGGUGCAAGCGUUGCUCGGAAUUAUUGGGCGUAAAGCGUACGCAGGCGGCUCUGUAAGUCGAGGGUGAAAUCCCGGGGCUCAACCCCGGACUUGCCUUCGAAACUGCCGAGCUUGAGUGCGGGAGAGGGAAGCGGAAUUCCUGGUGUAGAGGUGAAAUUCGUAGAUAUCAGGAGGAACACCGGUGGCGAAAGCGGCUUCCUGGCCCGAUACUGACGCUCAGGUACGAAAGCGUGGGGAGCAAACAGG
rnacentral:rRNA from 1 species